GCAAGUCGAGCGGCAGCACGGGGAGCUUGCUCCCUGGUGGCGAGCGGCGGACGGGUGAGUAAUGCAUAGGAAUCUGCCCGGUAGUGGGGGAUAACGUGGGGAAACCCACGCUAAUACCGCAUACGUCCUACGGGAGAAAGCGGAGGAUCUUCGGACUUCGCGCUAUCGGAUGAGCCUAUGUCGGAUUAGCUAGUUGGUAAGGUAAUGGCUUACCAAGGCGACGAUCCGUAGCUGGUCUGAGAGGAUGAUC
rnacentral:rRNA from 1 species